AUAUAUAUAUAUAUAUAUAUGUAAAGAAUAUAAUGAUCUGACUCUCCUCUUGAAGUCAUAUAGUUUGCCUUCCUUUAAGAGAAGAUAUAGGAGGUUUUUGUUGGAUGAUACAUUCCAUGGUUGAUUCUGUGAGGGUAUAGGUACGCAUCAGGGCCCCUUUUUCCCGAUUUUUUUUCUCUGUUUCAUUAUGUUUGGCUUCACUUGAUGAUUAUGAUUUUUUGUGGUUACUCUAUUUCAAAUUCAAUAUAUAUUUUCAGCUCUAGAGUGUGAUUUUUGUUGAUUUUUCUGUGAAAUCUAAUAGUUCCUGGGAACUUACUCAUAAUCUGUUCAUACUGUCGAAAGUAUCCCUUUUGCAGACAGUAUGUAUUUCUUUUUUCUUGUUUCGUUUUAUAUAGAUAUUAUGAUGUAUCAUAAUUUGUAAAUUCUACAAAUAAGUAUUUACCUAAUUACUUACUUACUGGCACUGGCUCAGUGCAAAGUUUGGAAGAACUUUUAGAGAAAUUAAUUGACAAUAAGCCAGCAUAAUUAGAACACAAUGUAGGACAGAUUGCAAAUGAUUUUAUGAUAGGAAAAUUUACUGGCAGAAAUUUAAAUGCAAAUCAAUGGAUUGGAGAUUUCAAUAAAUAAUGUGACCGUUUUCAAAUCAAUGAGGGCAAAAAGACAAUUAAAAUUUUAAAAUAUUUUUUGCAAUAUUCCGGUGCAAAUUGGUACAUGUUAGAAUAUUACUUCAUCCGAACAAAUUACGAGAGACAACCAACAUUACAUUCUACCCAUUCGUAGUAUUACUUCAUCUCACCACCGCGGCGUUGCGAAGUGACGAGGCCAUCGAGGGCUAUCGAGAGAAAAAACAAGAAUAGAUCUUCAAUGAUCAAGAGCGAAUGACAGAGGUCUAACCUAAGAGAUGAGACUCUUCGACAUCGAGCUUUGCUCGGAGAGAGACAUACUAGAGAUUAUAUUAAACUAUAAAACCUAAACGGUGUAUUAGUGAAUCCUCUGCAAAACCUAUAAAUCCAACAAGUUAUAGGCUCCAGUGCACGCUUAACUGCGCAACGAGGUGAACACUAAUUCUGAAAAUCUGUUGUGUACACAACGGGAAAAAUAUCAAUUGAGGUAAGUUGAAUUUCAACUUAAUCACGAGGCUAGAGGUAUUUUAUUUAGUUCAGUGAAUAAAAAUGAUUUAUUUCAUAUUCAUUGCUGAAAUAGAGAAUUCCUAUUAUACAGUAUUUACGGUAUUCGGAAAUAAUGUGUUUACCUAUCUAUCAGGGAAGGAAUCAACUUUGAUUCUUAACGGUUAUUGGCCGUUGAUGCUUAGGGAAAUGAGAUACUUUACUAUACACAUGUUUUAUAGAUUUAGAUGAUGUGAAUUUGGAGACUUCACAUUCAUCAUUUAGAGAGAUUCAGAUGAUAUGAAUGUAGAGAUUUCACAUUAAUCAUUUACGAGAGAUGUCACAUCCACCGUUUGAGAGAUUUAGGUGAUGUACAUAAGUCAUUUGAGAUGUAAAUGUAGAGAUUUUACAUAUUCAUCGUCAACGAGAGAUGUCACAUCCACCGUUUGAGAGAUUUAGGUGAUGUACAUACAUCAUUUGAGAGGUUUAGAUGAGAACAUUUUAGAGUUUCACUUAAACCAUUCAGAGGUUGAGAUUAUGUUAACUUUAGAGAUUUGGCUAACAUACUGUCUUUUUUAGAUUAGAUAAUGUUAGAGAUUUCACAUACAACACCUAGAAGUUUGGAUGUAGAUUUAGAGAUUAUACAUACAUCGCUUGGAGCAUGUGAAAUUGGAUAUUUCACAUUCCACAUACAUAACCCAGAGAUUCAGAUAUUUUGAGAGAAUAGAUUCAUCAUACUUGUUGAAAAAUUUGGAGAAUUAUUUAUUUCACUAAACUACAAGAACUGCAGUAUGGUAAGAUUUGUGAUAAUCAAUAUUUCAGGGCUUCUUUCAUACAAUGCUUACUGUGCCGUGUUGUUUGUUUGUAAGCUAGGGAUAUUAGAGGAUUCAAAUAUUCAUCCCGUACAUGUACAAUGGCCAUACCUAACGCAACAGGUAUUCAUUGCAGUGCGUGAUACCACUUUUGAAGUAAGGUGUACAUGUACGAGGUGGUGCUGCUUGAAAACUUGAUAGUCCUGUUUCGAAUUGUAUCAGAUCGCUGUGCGUAUGAGGCAAUUCAGAAGCAGGAAACAAAAUUUUAUAUCUUAUAUAUGGUAGUAGAUGUUGAUGUACUAAGAGAGCAUAUAAUGCACAAAAAUCUUAAAAUACAUAAUAUGAAUAUUUUUGUUUCAUUAAUCCUGAAAUUGAAAUGGCAGCCAAUGGAAAUCAAACAAAAACCAUUGGUGAAUUAAGAUUCAGAUUCCAUCAUUUCCGUAAGUGCAGAAGAUAGACGUUUCAUGCAAUACGAGGAAAGAGAGAAUUGUCAGAACCAAUAUAAGUCCGUUUCGUACAAUCAAUAAUUGCCAUUUCCUUGAUUUUAGCUGACUAGAGCAGUAUCAAUGAGUGAUACCUAAGAGACUAGAUGAAAGAUGCUAGAGAAAUUUUAGAGACAUUAGACGAAACCCCCUUUCGAGAUAUUAGAGAUCUGGGAGACGAGAAAUUGUCGACAUUAGAGUUAUGAGAAUAUUAGAGAUUUAGAGUAUUAGAAAACCCAGAGGUCAUAAGAAAUGAGAGAAUAUUUUCCUGGGAUUAAAUUCUAGAGUAGUAGAAAACCUAGGUUUUCAAAAAUCAAUUCAUAUUACAGAGAGAAUUAUUCAAAUUCGAAAUCUGGAUCGACAGUCUAAGAUCUGAGCUUUUUGAUGAAUGAUUUGUUGGACGUCAUAGAGCCAAGUACGAGUAACCAAACUUGAUCAGAGGCCAAGAAAUCCGAGAGAAGUAAUUGGGUACGAGACAUUAUCAUAAACAGAAAUGAGGAGAAUUAUCACAAGAAAAUUCUCAAUAUCCGAGACCCUGUUGAAGUAAAUAGAGGUUUGAGGUUCUCCACGAAGUGCAGUCAAAUGUGACACACACUUCAGAGCAACGAUAAGCGAAGAAGAUGAGAUGAGCUUACUAUCGCAGACACAUUCCAAUAACGAGUUAUUAGGUUCAGAGGGAGAACCGGAAUCUGCGAUUGGGAGGGAGAAAGAGUAUAAUCUCAUCUCUUCAUCUAAAGAGAAAGUUUUACAAGUUUCAACUGACAAAACAGAUGAAACACAAUCUGAGCAACAAGAGAAAAAUUGGGAUUGCAGUCAUAUCAGUAGAAAUGUAAUUUAGAUCGAUGACUUGGAAUCACUCCAAAACUUAGUGUCAGUCUUUAUGUUAAUUAAGUUGUUCAAUUUAUUAACCGUUUACUCAAUUUGUACAGUUUUAGUCAUUUUGAAUUUUCUAUUGGUUGAUUAUGUAAAUUGUCAUUUUUAGAAUUGGAAUAUAUUCCAA